rnacentral:lncRNA from 1 species
ACAAAUCUUCUGAUCGUCCCACGUGCCAUUUGCACAACAAUCAGGUGCACGUCUGAACUUAAUUAGGAUUGGUAGGAGCAAUCAACGAAUUAUCACACACGGGUUCAACAAAUUGCCUUCAUAUCUCUUUUAUGUUCCAAUAGAACCAAAUCAUUUGCAUUUUCUAAAAAUAGAAAAAAAAACACCAUUAGCCACGAAAACACCAAACACCAUUAGCCAUGAACAAACUUCCAGCUUGGUUAUAAAUAACCUAAUUGAUAUUUCCAAAGUACUCUUUCUGUUUGGAUCAACCUCACGCUUCACUGCUGCUACCCCCAUCCCAAACCUGGAAAAAAGGAACGGUUUGCUCAACAAAGGUAGCCAAGCAGCAAAAGCAGAGAUAGUACGUACUGAAUUUUUUAGAAAAGCUAUAGCGAGACAUAUAGAAAAAUUAUUGAACACUCCAAAAUUGGAAACAGAUGCCUACUAAACAUUACUUGACAUAUCCUUGACGUAAAAGAAGUCACAAAAAAUAUUUUCGUUGUAAGCAUAGAUUCAGAUUGCAAUUAGGACUUAGUUAUCGGCUAACUAUUCAUCCGAAGCAAACACCGUGAACCCUAUUUUACAGAAACGGGUAGCACACCAAACCUCAAUUAACUGGCCAAAAAUUUCAGAAAACAACUACAGUUAACUAAGCACUGAAAUUUACAUUAGUCAUGGAUCAAACAAUCUGCUGCAGUCAUUGUAUACAAGGGAAGUUUUCGUUUUCAUGCAUCGAACAAGGAGGGGGGAAAUGAACAAUACCUCCAGUCCAGCCGUUGGUAGCUUCAGAUCACACCUGAAUCCCGUCAAAUUCAGGGGGAAUCUAACGCUUUGCCUGGCGCCGCCCAGUUUCCUGGCACGUCAGAUUUCCCCAUUGGCGAUGCGAAGAGACUCGAUCGGCCUCAUCACGACUAGAGGGCCAGUGUCCAGAACUGGCAGCCUACGGACGAGGAAAAGGAAAACCAAAACAAUAAGAACAGGCUGUAGAGGAGAAUUAGUGGAAAACACGUCACCUGCACUCUCCAGGCCGAGGGACUUCCAUAGACUCCGGCGUGGUGAAGCAGGUGGACUGGAUCUGAAAGAGGAAGCAGGCGGCGUGGUCAACCAAAUCCAAAUCCACAAAGUAUGCCGGGGGAUUAAGCAUGUCAGGACAUCAGGAUGAAGGGGGGAAAUAAUAUACAUACCUGUCGGAGUCGACCCCAAACAUCUUGCCGGAGAGCGACGGCGCCCCGUCGGCCUUGGGAGAGACAGGGGAGCGGAGAAGAAGAGUUGUUCCGUGGCUGGGGUAAUUCCACGAGGUCAAGGAUAACGGCAGGAGGAGGCACACGAGCAGGAUAUGGGCCAAACAUGUACGCUGGGCCGAUGUAUUCCGGACCGUAUAUUGGAUGCCUAGG